CUCUGAUUCUGCUGGCCCAUCAACAUCAAUGCUACUGCUGCUGUGGAUAGCAUGUGUGUUGGUUAACCCACUAUGGCCUUGAAAAUCUACCAUUAGUAAGGCAGAGCACAAAGGAAGGAAAGAACACAUCUGGGAAACGAAAAGGAAACCAAAAAGGAGGUUUUAAACUGCGAAGUUGCAGACACUAGGAGAUGGAGAAGUAUAAUUGUUCUCAUUAUCAUUGUGAAAACUCCAAGGAAAUACAAUCCCAAGAUACUUUACCUUGACAAGCAACCAGGAACAAUAUCGACAUCAAGUCAUGGGAUUUGAAGGAAGAGCUGUGUUCCUGUUUAUGAUUCAUGUUGGAUGAGACUCUAAGAACUGAAGAGGAGUAAUCAGGCAUAAACCUCAAUCCUUCGGAGGCUAUUGGCUGUCCAUCAGCACUGCAAAUUUUGGGUACUCUACUUUGGGUAACCAAACAGGUAAGAAUUGAACACUAGCUUUUGCCUUUUUAAAAUCUCAUCCGCCCACUUAGACAUCCUCAU
rnacentral:lncRNA from 1 species